CGCGUCGACACAUCCAGUGUUACCGUGGCAGAGAUCGUUUUUCCUUCGGGAAGACCAAGUUCCGAUAGAGAUAGAGAAACUCGAGAGGUAGAGUUUCUGGAGGACUGUUGUUGAGACAGAGAGCAGCUUGCGUCCAGUUGUGUGUUUUUUAUUUUGGGUGAAUUUUGUUUAUAGACAUUUUCGUGUUCAAAAAUAUAUAAUGACGUUCUGAUGUAGUACCAGAGACAAAUUGAUAUCACCAUGUGAAAUAUCGUGAUCAAAAGCAAAAUGUGAGCUGCCCAACCACGUGAUUGCUGUUUCUGUCGUUCUUCAGGGAUCUCGUUUUAUCAGAAUCUACAAAAUGAAGAUUUUUGUUAGUACAACACCGCGAACCAGCUUGUUCUCAAAUGACGCAAAAACAAUGCAAGUUUAGGACAGACCCAUCAAUGGCCAUUCUGGCCAGCCCUGACCACGUUCGUGGGUCAGUUACUUUAGGACAUAAAAUUUCAGAAUGAGAAAGACGUGGUUUAAUGAGCGGGGAGGGUUACGGCAGCGGGCGGCUCCCUGAGACAUGCAGCGGCUCAGAACCACCUUCAAAAGGUCCCGCACGCCCACCGGAGCCGAAAUGAAGACCCAGAGCAGCCUGGAGGUGCCCAAGCAGAUCCGUUCGGCCUCCUUCGACGAAAUCCAGCUUGAAGCGAAGCGGAUCCAGGCGGCGGCGGCUGCGCGGGGCCAGCACGCGCCGGCCGACGCGCAGGCGUUGCUGCGCGUGCCACAGUAUGAGCAGCAGCGGUCGCGCAGCGUCGACUCGGGCUCGACGGAGGAGACUGGAGCCUACCUGGAGGUGCCUCCCAGGCGGUUCCAGAGGAGGAGGUCGUCGGGUGCCAAGAGUCCGGUAUGCGUGCACUGCGCCUGCGUGGAAGAGUACAACCGCCUGAACCCUCCGGAGGACCCUCCUCCCCUGGACGCUUGCGAGCGCCUCUACCUGAGCGACACCUCCUCCUCGGAGGACAUUGAGGAGGAGGAGGACGAGCCGAACAACGACGAGGAUGAGGAGGUAGAGGUAGAGGAGGAAGAGGAGCGGCCGUCGAGCGGUCGCGACUACAGCCGGGAGAACAGCGGCGGUACGACGGGCACGGGCACGGGCACGGGCACGGGCACGGGCACGGACUACAGCCGGGAGAAUAGCGAGGAGCGGCAACAGCGCGCGGCCGAAUGCAGGAUCACGGUGACGCUGUCGCCGACACUCAUGUCGCCGGGGGCGCUGCAGUCGCCCCCGCCCGUGCCGAUGUCGCCUGUCAUCGAGUUCUUUCCGGCGGACGGGGAACCGGAAGUGCCGCUCACGCCUACGCAGACCAGGAGAAAAUCGAUACAUCGGCAAGAAGCGUUUUUUGCCGAACCCACCGGUACGUCUUUAGAGAACAUGUCGGAGGGUGGUGCUUCUGAGCCGUGCUCAGAUCGAACAUCAGAAGGCGCUCUGUCGGAAGGAGACGCCAUCAAUACUACCAUCCCUGGUCUGGUGGUGCGCGACAUCUAUCUACAGGUGCCAGACCUGAAACGAGACAGAGCCGCGUCUGUCGACUCCUGCUUCUCCAAAGUGUCCGAGAAAAAGACUGAAGAACUGCAACAUUCCGGGGUGAGUCUUGAAGUGCCCGUGGGGCCCAGCGUGGCCCUCAGGUCGAGGUCGGUGGACAUCGUGUUACCCACUGAUGAGCAGGCCCGCUAUAAGGCACUGGCCAUGGCAGCGCCGAGUUCAGCACAAGGACAGUAUAGAAAAUCGAUAUCAGGCGCUGCGGAAAGACCUCUGCGCAGUACACCCGAUUGGAGCGAAGGCGCAGUCAACGGCGAUCAUUUAUGGGUGCCUACGUCGGUGUCCGGUGAUUUUUGCUACGUCGGCGAUUCAGAUUGCACGAAACACGGUUCACGGAUGAAAUGCUCCGCCUGCAACGUGAUCGCCCAUCAGAAUUGCAUUCCCGUUUUGAUCAACAGGCAAAAGUUCACGUGCAAGCCGACGUUUCGGGACGUUGGCGUGCGCCAGUAUCGGGAACAGACCACCAUCCAGCACCAUUGGGUCCAUCGAAGGUCGGAGAAGGGCAAAUGUCGACAUUGUGGCAAAUCAUUCCAAUCGAAAUUAUCGUUUAGCUCUAAGGAAAUAGUGGCAAUCAGUUGUUCCUGGUGUAAGACGGCUUAUCACAAUAAGGAGACUUGUUUUAAUAUUCAACGAAUCGGCGAAGAAUGUAAUUUAGGUGUACAUAGUAGUAUAAUAGUUCCUCCCUCGUGGAUAGUAAAGCUGCCGAGAAAAGGCAGUUUUAAGUCCAGUUUGAGAAAAACGCCCAAGAAACGAGCUUCCAGUAAAAAAAGAACUAGAGAUAAGGAUAAAGAACAAAAAGCUUUUGUAAUAAAGCCCAUUCCAUCGACCAACGUGACACCUGUGAUCGUUUUUAUUAACCCGAAAUCGGGAGGAAACCAAGGCCUUAAACUACUCCAAAAGUUCCAAUGGUUACUUAAUCCACGACAAGUUUUUGACUUAACUCAAGGCGGUCCGAAACUAGGCUUAGAACUCUUCAGAAAAGUACCAAACCUGAGGGUACUAGCCUGCGGCGGAGACGGCACUGUAGGAUGGGUACUCAGCGUGAUAGAUCAAAUAGGAAUGAACCCUCAACCUGCGGUAGGAGUUCUUCCGCUGGGUACAGGGAAUGACUUGGCAAGAGCUCUAGGAUGGGGAGGAGGAUAUACCGACGAACCAAUCUCGAAAAUAUUGUCUAAUAUCAGCCAUAGCGAUACCGUUCUCCUUGACCGAUGGUCACUAGGGGUCGAACAAAAUGGCGGCGCGGAAGCACCCGAAGAAGGGAAGGAAAACCUACCCCUAAAUGUGGUGAACAACUAUUAUUCUUUGGGGGUGGAUGCCCAUAUAGCGCUGGAAUUUCACGAAGCAAGAGAGGCCCAUCCUGAAAAAUUCAACUCCAGACUACGAAACAAGAUGUUUUAUGGACAAAUGGGCGGCAAAGAUUUGCUCAAAAGGAAAUGGAAAGGAUUGGCCGAUUUUGUCACGUUAGAAUGUGACGGACAGGACAUCACACCCAAGCUAAAGGAGCUGAGAGUACACGCUAUCGUUUUUUUGAACAUCGCAAGUUAUGGUGGAGGGACCAAACCGUGGAACAGAUCGAUGGGAUCUUCAGAUCCCAGCACAGAGGAUGGACUUAUCGAAGUCCUAGGCCUGACCACAUAUCAGCUUCCACUUCUGCAAGCAGGCGGACAUGGGACUUGUAUUACACAAUGUCGAUCAGCUAAAAUCGUCACAUCAAAAACAAUACCAAUGCAAGUAGACGGCGAAGCUUGUAAACUGAAGCCAUCAAUAAUCACGUUGACGCAUUUGAACAGGGCGCCCAUGUUGGCCAAACGGAAAUGCGGCAAAGUGAUAGCACCGCAAACAGCGCUGGACAACCUCAAAAUCACCGUUCACAAAAUUAGCAUGGCCGACUACGAGCAACACCAUUACGAAAAAGAUUUAUUAGCCCAAGCAGCAAUAACAGUUGGUACUAUCGAAGUAAACCCAACAGCGGACUUGGAACACGUCAGGGGAAUAAUCAACAAACACGUCGAAUCAAACAAAGAAGUGGGAGUGAGUCCAGAAUGGUGCUUCGUUGACUCCUGUACCGCUGAGCGAUUCUUUCGGAUAGACCGGGCGCAGGAAAACCUGCACUACGUCAUGGACAUCGCGAGCGAGGACCUCUACAUCCUGGAAUGCGGGGGCGGCACAGCGCCACACACCCCCGAGGACGAAACGGCCGCCCCCUCGCCCAGUUCCAACCAUCAGACGCCGCACGUCAUACCGGAAAUGAGAAUAAGUGAUGAAGGUAGUCUGGAUUCUCCAAGCGACCAUCCCCCCAUGUCUCCCAAGAUACUGCUCUCUCCUGAUGAAACACAAUCGGACGAUACGCAGGACGGCAAUCAUACGGGGACAGAGACGGACUCAGGAGUACGAAUUCGAAGCUCAAAAACCUGCAUAAUCAGGGGUACUCUCUUCAAACGAGGGACGCAACAGGCCAAAAUCUGCUCCACCACGCGGCGCGUCACGGUCACAAGGACGUCGUGAAGUACCUGCUGCGUCACGCGCCGUCAAUUAUCAACCAGAAGGAUAAUAACUUAGGCCAAACUCCUCUUCACAAGGCUGCCAAUUUUAAAUGGCGCAGCAUCUGUUGUAUGUUGGUAGCUGGAGGUGCCAGUUUAGUGAUCACAGAUUACAGAGGUAACACGCCGAGGAUGUUGGCCAUCCAGGCU
rnacentral:misc_RNA from 1 species